rnacentral:rRNA from 1 species
GAGGGCAAGCCUGGUGCCAGCAGCCGCGGUAACUCCAGCUCCAAUAGCGUAUAUUAAAGUUGUUGCGGUUAAAAAGCUCGUAGUUGAAUCUGUGUCCCACACUGUCGGUUCACCGCUCGCGGUGUCCAACUGGCAUGUCUGUGGGACGUCCUGCCGGUGGGCGCAGCCCCUCAAAAGGCGGCCCAACUCAAAAUCCUACCACGGUGCUCUUCACCGAGUGUCGAGGUGGGCCGGUACGUUUACUUUGAACAAAUUAGAGUGCUUAAAGCAGGCUCAUUCGCCUGAAUAUUCUGUGCAUGGAAUAAUGGAAUAGGACCUCGGUUCUAUUUUGUUGGUUUUCGGAACUCCGAGGUAAUGAUUAAUAGGGACAACUGGGGGCAUUCGUAUUGCGACGUUAGAGGUGAAAUUCUUGGAUCGUCGCAAGACGGACAGAAGCGAAAGAAAUGUGUUUUCAUCAAUCAAGAACGAAAGUUAGAGGUUCGAAGGCGAUCAGAUACCGCCCUAGUUCUAACCAUAAACGAUGCCAGCUAGCGAUCCGCCGAAGUUCCUCCGAUGACUCGGCGGGCAGCUUCCGGGAAACCAAAGCUUUUGGGUUCCGGGGGAAGUAUGGUUGCAAAGCUGAAACUUAAAGGAAUUGACGGAAGGGCACCACCAGGAGUGGAGCCUGCGGCU